ACGAGAAGUACGUAGCAAUACGUAUUGUAAAGUGGCGCACGGGUGAGUAACACGUGGUAAUCUGCCCUUGAGUUUGGGAUAACCCCGCGAAAGCGGGGCUAAUACCGAAUAAGACCACGGGGACCAAAGUCCCUGAGGUAAAAGGUGGCCUCUAUUUAUAAGCUACCCCUUGAGGAUGAGCCCGCGGCCCAUUAGCUAGUUGGCAGGGUAACGGCCUACCAAGGCUAUGAUGGGUAGCUGGUCUGAGAGGACGAUCAGCCACACUGGAACUGAGACACGGUCCAGACUCCUACGGGAGGCAGCAGUGGGGAAUAUUGCGCAAUGGGCGAAAGCCUGACGCAGCAACGCCGCGUGGGGGAUGAAGGUUCUCGGAUUGUAAACCCCUUUCGAUCGGAACGAAUCUCCUCCUGGUAAAUAAUCAGGAGGAUCGACGGUACCGAGAGAAGAAGCCACGGCUAACUCUGUGCCAGCAGCCGCGGUAAGACAGAGGUGGCGAGCGUUGUUCGGAUUUAUUGGGCGUAAAGCGAACGCAGGUGGUUUGGUAAGUCAGGGGUGAAAGCCCACAGCUUAACUGUGGCACUGCCUUUGAUACUGCCUUUCUUGAGUGCAUGAGGGGGAAGCGGAAUUCCGAGUGUAGAGGUGAAAUUCGUAGAUAUUCGGAGGAACACCGGUGGCGAAGGCGGCUUCCUGGCAUGCAACUGACACUCAUGUUCGAAAGCGUGGGUAGCAAACAGGAUUAGAUACCCUGGUAGUCCACGCCCUAAACGAUGGGCACUAGGUGUGGGAGGUAUCGACCCCUUCCGUGCCGCAGCUAACGCAUUAAGUGCCCCGCCUGGGGAGUACGGCCGCAGGUUGAAACUCAAAGGAAUUGACGGGGGCCCGC
rnacentral:rRNA from 1 species